rnacentral:lncRNA from 1 species
AAGCUUCCUAAGGUUCUUACCAGAAGCAGAUGCUGGUGCCAUGCUUCUUGUACAGCCUACAGAACUCUCUCUGUUCAUUCUAAAGUGAUGUGUCUUCAAGGAAGUUCAUGGGAAAGACUGAUAGGACACAAUUGAAAACACUGGUUAUAUUACAAAAGCUUUGACUGGUAAUUUUGUGUCAUAUUUUCAAAUGUGACCAGGCUGCUUUGAGGAAUUGCAGUUUACUUUAAAGCCAACAGACUUGGAAAAAGACUGGCCGGGUACCAUAUCUACACUGUUCCCUUACAGGGUUCCUGACCUUGUGGCGUUUCUACCUCCAAGGGAAAAAGAUAACAAAUCUUUGGCUGACCAACUGAUGUUUAUCAGCAAUGCUUCCUCACAUCAAAUCUUUAUCAAAAUGAAGAAAUGUGAAAUGUGAUAUACAAAACAGUAUCACUUGGUUCAGAGCUCUAAAAUGGAGUCAAGAAGCCACUCUAUUACUACCUACACAACAUGAAACCCUGCAGGAAAAAAAAAAAGGAACAGGAACUUGCCUUGAACCUUUGAACUGGGCUAAACUACAAUGACCACAUCUUAGAAAGCAGCUGAAUUUCACCAGCACUGCAACUCCUGCAUAGCAACAACCAAUGUACCAUGGACUUAUGUACUAAGCCAGCCACCUCCACCAAUGAUAAUUCUUUCAAAACAACUUGUGCAAUCACUCUCGGCAUCCUUUGAAAAAUUCCUACUCUCCUUCCUGUCUUUGGAAAACAAUUUGGCUCUUAGCCAAAUCCGUGUCUCCCAAAUUGCAACUUUUAAGGCCUCAAAUGCCUAGUCUUACUGCAUUGCACUCUGGUGUUUUGCCCCUUCUUACUUGACAUAUUAUACUUACAUCUCCAUUUCUAGUUGUGUUGAUUUUUUUAUUUUUUUAUUUUUAUUUUUAUUUUUGGAUAGUGUCUCACUCUGUCACCCAGGCUGGAGUACAGUGAUGCUGUCAGGGCUCACUGCAGUCUUGACCACCUGGGUUCAAGUGAUCCUCCCGCCUCAGCCUCCCAUGUAGCUGGGACUACAGGCAUGCACCACCAUGCCUGGCUAGUUUUCUUACUUUUGGUAGACACAUGGUUUCACCAUGUUGCCCAGGCUGGUCACAAACUUCUGGGUUCAAGUGAUCCACCUGCCUUGGCCUCCCGAAGUGCUUGUAUUACAGGUGUAAGCCACUGUGCCUGGCCUUGUAUCAACUUUUUGAUAGUAUCUCUUGACAGAAUGUAAAUGUGAGUAAUACAGACUCAGCAUGGUAGAGAAAUGAUAUAUGAAGGAGUGGUAUUACAGAGACAGGAUAGAUUAUUCGAUAAAUUCGGCUCUGGGACAAUUGGAUAUCAAACCAUAUGCCCUAUUCAAAAAUCAGUUGUUGGUGGAUCAAAAUUUUAUUUUAAAACUUUAUUUUUUAAAUAAAUUUUUGUUUUAUUUUAUCAUAUAUAUGUGUGUGUGUGUAUAUAUAUAAGCAUCUGCAUGGAAUUUUUCCCAUCUUUUUAAGUGUUUGAGGGUACACAGUAGAUAUAUAUAUAUUUAUGGGGUACAUAAAAUAUUUUCUACAGGCAUGCGAUGCAAAAUAGUCACAUCAGAGUGAAUGGGGUAGCCAUCCCCCCAGGCACUUAUUCUUUGUAUUAUAAACAAUCCAAUUGUACUCUUUUAGUUAUUUUGAAAUAUAGAACUUAAUUAUUUUUGACUACAGUCACCCUGUAGUGGUAGCAAAAUACUAAGUCUUAUUCAUUCUUUCAAACUAUUUUUGUACCUUUUAACCAUGCCCAACUCCCGCCUGCCCAGGACCCCACUACCCUUUGCAGCCUCUGGUAGCCAUCCUUCUACUCUCUAUGUCCAUAAGUUCACCUGUUUUGAUUUUUAGUUCCCACAAAUAAGUGAGAACAUGCAAAAUUUUUCUUUCUCUGCCUGCCUUAUUUCACUUAACAUCAUGACCUCAAGUUCCAUCCAUGUUGUUGCCAAUUACAGGAUCUCAUUCCUUUUUUAUGGCUGCACAGUACUCCAUUGCUUAUAUGUGCCAUAUUUUCUUUAUCCAUUUAUCUGUUGAUGGAGACUUAGGUUGCUUCCAAAGCUUGACUGUUAUGAAUAGUGCUGCAAUAAACAUGGAGUGCAGAUAUAACCUUGAUACACUGAUUUCCAUUCUUUUGUGUAUAUACCCAGGGGUGGGUGUAUAUACCCAGAGUGAAAUUCCGUCUCGGAAAAAAAAAAAAAAAAAAAAAAAAAGAGUUCUUUUGUGACCUAAAUAUGGUCUAUCCUUGAGAAAAUCUAUGUGCUGAGGAAAGAUGGUGUAUUUUACAGAUGUU